UUCCUUUAAGUUUAAUGGUGUGAAGAGGAUGUGGUCACAUGAAUGCCAGCCACUCGCAUAUCUUUUGGACGUGUAAAAAUGCAAAUGUUUUGGAACCAUGUUGUUCAGACAAUGGAGAACAUUUUAAA